GAGGAUGAUCAGCCACACUGGAACUGAGACACGGUCCAGACUCCUACGGGAGGCAGCAGUGGGGAAUAUUGGACAAUGGGCGCAAGCCUGAUCCAGCAAUGCCGCGUGUGUGAAGAAGGCCUUCGGGUUGUAAAGCACUUUUAUCAGGAACGAAAUACCACGGGUUAAUAACCUAUGGGGCUGACGGUACCUGAGGAAUAAGCACCGGCUAACUUCGUGCCAGCAGCCGCGGUAAUACGAAGGGUGCAAGCGUUAAUCGGAAUUACUGGGCGUAAAGGGUGCGUAGGCGGUUGUUUAAGUCUGUUGUGAAAUCCCCGGGCUCAACCUGGGAAUGGCAAUGGAUACUGGACAGCUAGAGUGUGUCAGAGGAUGGUGGAAUUUCCGGUGUAGCGGUGAAAUGCGUAGAGAUCGGAAGGAACAUCAGUGGCGAAGGCGGCCAUCUGGGGCAACACUGACGCUGAAGCACGAAAGCGUGGGGAGCAAACAGGAUUAGAUACCCUGGUAGUCCACGCCCUAAACAAUGCGAACUGGAUGUUGGUCUCAACUCGGAGAUCAGUGUCGAAGCUAACGCGUUAAGUUCGCCGCCUGGGGAGUACGGUCGCAAGACUGAAACUCAAAGGAAUUGACGGGGGCCCGCACAAGCGGUGGAGUAUGUGGUUUAAUUCGAUGCAACGCGAAGAACCUUACCUGGCCUUGACAUGUCCGGAAUCCUGCAGAGAUGCGGGAGUGCCUUCGGGAAUCGGAACACAGGUGCUGCAUGGCUGUCGUCAGCUCGUGUCGUGAGAUGUUGGGUUAAGUCCCGCAACGAGCGCAACCCUUGUCCUUAGUUGCCAGCGAGUAAUGUCGGGAACUCUAAGGAGACUGCCGGUGACAAACCGGAGGAAGGUGGGGAUGACGUCAAGUCCUCAUGGCCCUUACGGCCAGGGCUACACACGUACUACAAUGGUCGGUACAGAGGGUUGCAAUACCGCGAGGUGGAGCCAAUCCCAGAAAGCCGAUCCCAGUCCGGAUCGAAGUCUGCAACUCGACUUCGUGAAGUCGGAAUCGCUAGUAAUCGCGGAUCAGCUAUGCCGCGGUGAAUACGUUCCCGGGCCUUGUACACACCGCCCGUCACACCAUGGGAGUGAGUUGCUCCAGAAGCCGUUAGUCUAACCGCAAGGGGGACGACGACCACGGAGUGGUUCAUGACUGGGGUGAAGUCGUAACAAGGUA
rnacentral:rRNA from 1 species